AUGGGCGUAGCUCAACGGGGAGAGCGCCGGCCUCCAAAGCCGACAGAUGCGGGUUCGAAUCCUGCCGCCCGUGC
rnacentral:tRNA from 1 species